rnacentral:rRNA from 1 species
CCCUUAGAUGUCCGGGGCUGCACGCGCGCUACAUUGAAGGAAUCAGCGUGCUAAAACCAUUGUCGAAAGGCAUUGGUAAACCCAUUAAAAUCCUACGUGAUUGGGAUCGGGAAUUGCAAUUAUUUCCCUUGAACGAGGAAUUCCCAGUAAGUGUGGGUCAUAAGCUCGCGUUGAUUACGUCCCUGCCCUUUGUACACACCGCCCGUCGCUGCCCGGGACUGAGCCGUUUCGAGAAAAGCGGGGACUGCUGCUGUCGGGGCUUUCGGGCCUUGGCUUCGGUGGAAACCGCUUUAAUCGCAGUGGCUUGAACCGGGCAAAAGUCGUAACA